rnacentral:lncRNA from 1 species
CAAAUAAUAAUACUUAAAGUUUCACCACUUGCCAUAUAAAGAAAAUUCAUCCCUUUCAUGGUGGAAACUGGAAUGCUAGCCAUUUGAAAAAUUAGAAAUUGAGAAAACCCAUCAGAAUUGACUGACUAAUAUAGAUUGCUACUUCAAAAAACUAAAAUAAUUAGAUUCUUAAUCGUACCAGGGGGAAAACUCUCCAGACUCCACCCAACGAACAAGAUCAGAUUCGACGAGAGAAGAAUAUGAUUACAACAAUAUAAAUUACUAGACCAACAAGAAAAAUAACCAACCUUACAGGCAAACCUUUGUAGGGAGUCGAUGAGAGAAUUAAUAUGCUUGAAGGCACCUAGCAAUCUAGAACGAGUGUCACACGUUUUCUAUACCAUGAUUUAUACUAAAAGUGUAUGAUGCCAAGUUUUGUAAUAUAAUCUAAAGGUGAAUAUGGUGACAAAUUCAAGGAGUGCAAUUUUUACAAAUAAAUCAAUAUAAGAAAGGAAUAGGGAAUGAGUUUACCUAACUAUCAAUUAUGUUCAAUUAUUCUAAUCAAUUUUUUCAUGUUUAAAAGUAAGAACCCUAAUGUAUUUCUCUCCCGUCUCUCGAGUACCGACUGGAAAAUAAUCCUAAAUUUUGAUUCCAUAUCUUUAUUUCAAAUUAAAAUCAAGAAUUUAUCAAGUUCAUGAUUCUUUUAUGGAGUAUGCUUGAUAAAUCCUUACUUUCUUUUGAAACCCAUAAAAUAUACGUUGUGUCAAUCCUAUAAUCUUGCCUAUAUUCCCCUUUCUCGAGUAUCGAAAUUGACUAGCAUCCAUUCAUCCAAAUUUACCAACUUUUGUUUAUUUCCUUCAAUUUUAUCAACCAAUAUCACAACAUCAAGAUACGCAUUAAAACAUUCUAAAACUUGUAGGAAUUAGCUAAAUAUCAAUCUUAGAUGAUAUCUAAAGUAUGAGUGAAAUACAUUUAUCAACAAGGCCACAUAGGAUCUGGUGGGAGAGUUGGGCAAGAGAAAGCCAAUCAAUCCAUCAAGUAUGAGGAUCAAACUUUUCCAUUUGCUUACAUAGAAUAAAUGGGAAACAAGCAGCUUUGGUUAGAGCUUUAAAGGAGAUGGACGAUAAUAACAAGUAUGCCCCUUUAUCCCAGGUGAUCAAAGCAUUGGAAGCCUAAACAAAUUUCUAAUGCCAAAAAUGCAAAAAAUUUGUGGAAAGACAAUACCGUCGACUACGUACGGGAAUAUAACACCCACUUAAAUUUUUUACGAGCGAUCUUAGGACACAAACAUCGAGGCUCUCAACGGGAGCUAAAAAAUAGAAUAAGGUUUACAUCACUAGAGUCUGCAUUUGGUCAUACCUGAAAAACCAAUUUAUCCAUAUGUUUACCAAGGGAAAGGUCGACCCAACAAAAGAAUAUCCAUGAUAUGAUACAAGGCACCAGUGAGCCUUUGCGUAGCUAUCUUAGCCGUUUUAAUCAAUAAAUAGUUGACAUUGAAAGCCUUUCAUAAAAUACAACUUUUCAAGCUUUGAGGUCCAUUUUGGACAUGAUAACUCCUUUUUGGAGAAACUUUCCCAAUUGAGCACCUUUGUAUAAUGAAUUAAUGGAAUUGAUCAAAGAGGAUAUCAAUAAUCAAGAAAUGAUAAGGUCAAAGGAUUUACAACAAAGACAUGGCUAGAUGGAUAGAGGGAAGGCUUCGAUGAAGUAAGAUGGCCUUAAAGCUCGUCUAUUGUGACACAACUAUAUGUAAUUGAAGUAGAUGCUGUGAAACCCAGAAGAUUACCAAAAGGUUGUUCUUCCGAAACCCCCAAGCGCACAUGAUCGUUGACAAGUAAUAGAUUUAGUGAGUUGAGAGUAUCGUCCCACGAGGAAUAAAAUUUAUUAGAGUGUACUAGUGUUUAAUUAGAUUCAAAGCAAACAAAUAAAAGUGAUUUGCGGUUUUUAAUUAAUCCAACUUAAUCUACGAAAACUUGUAAAAUGCAAAUUUAAUAUGUAAGGGAAGAGUGUAUUAGAUUAUGAAUCCACCUAUUAUUAUCUAUUUCAAUUCUUGACUUUGUAGCUAGUUCAUUCAUACGUUAUUGACUAUCGAUAAUUCUAGUGUAAUUAAUUUUCUUCUCCAAGACAAAUUAAAUCUAUACUAUUCAUGACCUGAAUUUAUUCCAAGUCCAAAUUCGAAUGAAUAAAACGCAUUCAAUUUCACAAUUAUAUCAUGCAUAAGUGAUAAAUCUUAUUCCUAAAAUUUAUUGCACAUUUGUUAAUCAAGCAGUGGUAUAGACUUAUUGUGAACCUUCCUGCAUUACAAUAGGCAACCAUACAUUUAAUUGGUAAUCAAGCAAUCAAAUAAUAAAAUUAAGCAUGCAAGAUUAAUAAAAAAAUUGUAAAAAUUCAACUAAACCACGUGCCUUGAAUUAAAAAUAAAUAAUAAAUGGAUUCAUCUUCAUCCAAUGAUAAGAAUUAGCCUUGCAUAAUGUGGAAAUUAAAUAAAUAGAGGUGGAAAGACAUCACUAAAUUUUUUUUCUUGUUUAAAAGUAAGAACCCUAAUGUAUUUCUCUACCCUCUCUCGAGUGCUGAUUAGAAAAUAAUCCUAAAUUUCGAUUCCAUAUCUUUAUUCCAAAUUAAAAUCAAGAAUUUAUCAAGUUCAUGAUUCUUUUAUGGAGUAUGCUUGAUCAAUCAUUACUUUCUCUUGAAACCCAUAAAAUCAAUGUUGUCUCAAUCCUAUAAUCUCGCCUAUAUUCCUCUCUCUUGAGUAUCGAAAUUGACUAGCAUCUAUUCAUCUAAUUUUACCAACUUUUGUUUAUUUCCUUCAAUUUCUUCAACCAAUAUCACAACAUCAAAACACGCAUUAAAACAUUCUAAAACUUGUAGGAAUUAGCUAAAUAUCAAGUUUAGAUGGUAUCUGAAGUAUGAGUGAAAUACACUUAUCAAAAAGGCCAUAUAGGAUCUGGUAGGAGAGUUGGGCAAGAGAAAGCCAAUCAAUCCAUCAAGUAUGAGGAUCAAACUUUUCCAUUUGCUUACAUAGAAUAAAUGGGAAACAAGCAGCUUCGGUUAGAGCUUUAAAGGAGAUGGACGAUAAUGACGAGUAUGCCCCCCUUUAUCCCAGGUGAUCAAAGCGUUGGAAGCCUAAACAAAUUUCUAGUGCCAAAAAUGCAAAAAAGAUUGUGGGAAGACAAUACCGUCGACUAGGUACGAGAAUAUAACACCCAAUUAAAUUUUUUACGAGCGCUCUUAGGACACAAACAUCGAGGCUCUCCACAAGAGAUAAAAAAUGGAAUAAGGUUUACAUCACCAGAGUCUACAUUUGGUCAAACCUGAAAAACCAAUUUAUCCAUAUGUUUACCAAGGGAAAGGUCGACCCGACAAGAGAGUAUCCAUGAUAUGAUACAAGGCACUAGUGAGCCUUUGCAGAGCUAUCUUAGCCGUUUUAAUCAAUAAAUAGUUGACAUUGAAAGUCUUUCAUAAAAUACAACUUUUCAGGCUUUGAGGUCCAUUUUG